AUUGCACGCUAGCGGGAUGCUUUACACCUGCAAGUCGCACGGCGUGGCGGACGGGUGAGUCAUAUAUCGGAACGUGCCCAGUAGCGGGGGAUAACUACUCGCAAGAGUGGCUAAUACCGCCUACUAUUGGAGCGGCCGCUAUCGGAUUAGCUAGUUGGUGGGGUAAAGGCUCACCAAGGCAACGAUCCGUAGCUGGUCUGAGAGGACGACCAGCCACAAUGUGACUGAGACACGGCCCAGAGUCCUACGGGAGGCAGCAGGGGGGAAUUUGGGACAAUGGGGGAAACCCUGAUCCAGCCAUCCCGCGUGUAUGAUGAAGGCCUUCGGGUUGUAAAGUACUUUUGGCAGAGAAGCGGUAUCUGCAGAAUAAGCACCGGCUAACUACGUGCCAGCAGCCGCGGUAAUAC
rnacentral:rRNA from 1 species